rnacentral:lncRNA from 1 species
CGUUCCUCAGUCUUCAUCACCCACACCAGGUAUCAAUAAUAGACGUCUUCUGCAACAAACAAGAAUUCAUAUAAACACUUCUACAAGUCUUUACAGAGGUUGUAGUACAUCACAAGGUAGAUAGAAUUCCAAGUAUUUUCAAGCUCAUCAAGAGAGGCCGCUGUUCUACUGACCAAGAAAGCCACUAUCUAAAACCAAUGAUGUAUUUCAUUGGACAGCACUGAGAUUGAUAUUGAUGACACUCCAAGAAAGUGAAGACAUAAGAGAUACAACAAUAGCAUAUCAUAUCUGGGAACAUUGUACUGCGAAAACACACAGAAAGAAUAACAGGAAACUAUAAUUGUUUUCAUUGGAUGAGUUUAACGUUGCAGAGAAAGUAGAACGUGAGUGCAAAAUAAGUCACCUGGCAAUGUGGCUAUUAACAUUAACUAUCUUACGAAUUGAUGAUCCGAUAAAAGGCCAAUAGAAAGCUGUUAAUACUGAAUGCUUGAUUAAGUGUUCGAACAAGCUAUAUUNUGAUCAAAUCUUCCAGAAAUAAAAACGUGAGUGGAAUAGACACGCGUAUAUAACGAGUGGUUCUUUUAGAAGCUCUACAGGAUUUAAUCCACAGCUGGUGAUAAUAUCACUUGAAAAGAUAUCUCUUUUUGCAAUCCUGUGGUCCUGGUUCAAGUCUUAGGCACUGAUUGUAUGUAGGUUGAGCGAUCCUGUGGUCCUGGUUCAAGUCUUAGGCACUGAUUGUAUGUAGGUUGAGCGAUC